rnacentral:rRNA from 1 species
AUACGGAGGGUGCAAGCGUUAAUCGGAAUUACUGGGCGUAAAGAGUUCGUAGGCGGAUAAGCAAGUAAGAGGUGAAAGCCCAGGGCUCAACCUGGGAACUGCAUUUGAAACUGGCGAGCUAGAGUAUGGUAGAGGGGGGUAGAAUUUCUGGUGUAGCGGUGAAAUGCGUAGAUAUCAGAAGGAAUACCAGUGGCGAAGGCGGCCCCCUGGCCCAAUACUGACGCUGAGGUACGAAAGCGUGGGUAGCGAACGGGAUUAGAAACCCCAGUAGUCC